AUACACAUCUCCGGGCACACGAAACAGGCAGAAAUCGCGUAAGUGGCGGACGGGUGCGUAAUGUCUGGGAAACUGCCUGAUGGAGGGGGAUAACUACUGGCAACGGUAGCUAAUCCCGCCUACCCUCGGAUGUGCCCAGAUGGGAUGAGCGAGUAGGUGGGAUAAAGUCUCAACUAGGCUACGAUCCCUAGCUGGUCUGAGAGGAUGACCAGCCACACUUGAACGGAGAUACGGUCCAGACUCCGACGGGAGGCAUCCGUUGGUAAUAUUGCACAAUGGGCGCAAGACUGAUGCAGCCAUGCCGCGUGUGUUAAGAAGGCCUUCGCGUUUUAAAGCACUUUCAGGGAGGAGGCGUUACUCGCAGAAGAAGCACCGGCUAACUCCGUGCCAGCAGCAGCGGUAAUAC
rnacentral:rRNA from 1 species